rnacentral:rRNA from 1 species
CCUACGGGUGGCAGCAGUGGGGAAUAUUGGACAAUGGGGGCAACCCUGAUCCAGCCAUGCCGCGUGUGUGAAGAAGGCCCUCGGGUUGUAAAGCACUUUCAGUGAGGAAGAACGCCUGGUGGUUAAUACCCAUCAGGAAAGACAUCACUCACAGAAGAAGCACCGGCUAACUCCGUGCCAGCAGCCGCGGUAAUACGGAGGGUGCGAGCGUUAAUCGGAAUUACUGGGCGUAAAGCGCGCGUAGGUGACUUGAUAAGCCGGUUGUGAAAGCCCCGGGCUCAACCUGGGAACGGCAUCCGGAACUGUCAAGCUAGAGUGCAGGAGAGGAAGGUAGAAUUCCCGGUGUAGCGGUGAAAUGCGUAGAGAUCGGGAGGAAUACCAGUGGCGAAGGCGGCCUUCUGGACUGACACUGACACUGAGGUGCGAAAGCGUGGGUAGCAAACAGGAUUAGAUACCCGUGUAGUC